UACGUAGGGGGCAAGCGUUGUCCGGAUUUAUUGGGCGUAAAGCGCUCGCAGGUGGUUCGUCGCGUCGUGCGUGAAAGACCCCGGCUCAACUGGGGGGUGUCGUGCGAUACGGGCGGACUGGAGGCCAGUAGGGGGAUGCGGAAUUCCGGGUGUAGUGGUGGAAUGCGUAGAGAUCCGGAGGAACACCAGCGGCGAAGGCGGCAUCCUGGACUGGUCCUGACACUCAUGAGCGAAAGCGUGGGGAGCGAACAGG
rnacentral:rRNA from 1 species